CGGAACAGGUGGGCCUUGAUCCCGCAAAAAUUAGUUAACAGCU
rnacentral:tRNA from 1 species